rnacentral:tRNA from 1 species
ACCUGGCUGGCUUAGUCGGUGGAGCACGUGACUCCUGAUCUCGAUGUUGUGAGUUCGAGCCCCAUGUUGGGUG